rnacentral:misc_RNA from 1 species
GUGAUAGUCGCUUGCUCCCGCCCCCGCUUCGUCGUCCGGUCGAACGAAGAAACGGCGAGAAUGGCAUUUGUGCGUGAAAUUGUAUCAGUUUUUGUGUGAACAACUGCAAAUUUCUCACAACAGCAACUUCACCCUCCGACCUUUAGUUCGCUGGUGUAAUUAUCCCUUCACAGUGUUAAACUAUGUGCCGUUUUAAAUAGUUUAGUGGCGAAGAAUUUUUGUGUGACUGGUUUGGGGUGGUAUCCCGUAGAUUUUGUUUCAUUGUGCUUAGCAAUAAUGGUCAGACUUCCCGCUAACAUCGUUGGAAUUUAAAACAUUCGUGCCCCAACCGGCAUGGAUGAAGGUUUACUCAACGAUCUCCUCGAGUGCUCCGUUUGUUUGGAGCGACUCGACACCUCGUCUCGGGUCCUGCCGUGCCAGCAUACCUUCUGCCUCAAAUGCUUGAAGGUGAUUAUAGAAUCUCACAAGGAGCUCCGAUGUCCAGAAUGCAGGGUCCUGGUGGAAGCGAAGGUGGAGGAGCUGCCUCCAAAUGUCCUCCUCAUGAGGAUCCUAGAGGGCAUGAAGAACUCCGCCCCGAGGAAAAUGGUAACUGGACAACGGACUUCGAGAAGCGGUGGACAUUCACAGGCUCUACAAGGCGUUCAAGGCGGUAAGCAGUUGCCGCCUCACGCGAGGGCCCUCUACGACUUUAUAUCGAAGGAGCCCGGGGACCUCUCGUUCAAGAAAGGUGAAACAAUAUUGAUACAGAAGAAAUUGGACCCGUUUUGGUAUCAGGGAGAAUGUUCCGGCCGAACUGGCAUGUUCCCCAUCACUUAUGUACAGGUGGUAGUACCUCUCCCGGUGGCUACAGCGUUAUGCAAAGCGUUGUACGACUUCCGCAUGUCCGCCCCCGACGAGGAAGGAUGUUUGGCGUUUGACAAGGGGGCAAUUAUAACGGUGCAUCGUCGUGUCGACGACAACUGGGCGGAGGGUCGGCUGGACCAACGCGUCGGCAUCUUCCCCAUCGCUUUCGUGGAGCUCAACCAAGCGGCUAGGCAGCUCAUGAACAGUGUACCGUUGAACCGACCGGUGCCGCCCAUACCCGAACACUCCCGACCAUCGCACUCGGAACACAGGCAUCAUGCACAGCAACACUCGCACCGUUACCAACCGAUGUCUAUGUCUACCCCCUCCACCGUGCAGAGUAACUACCAAAACAUGGCCGCCAUGAGUCAGUCGCAUCCCAACUACCAUCCCGCGCAGACGCAGCCGCAGAUACUGCUGCCCCAGCCCAUCAACCAGCACGUCACCGUCUCCCACGGAGGCCUCGUCACCACCACCGCCGUACCCAGAAACAUCAUGGAACCACAAACCAAACACUCGCUAGACCUCAUACAAUUCACUAACAUGCACAACAAAGGACACCAAACUAUGGGCAUACAAAACGUAUCCAGAAUCGGAGAAAAUUACGACAGAUUACGAACAGUCAAAUACGACAGCUACAACUCAACGCCAGUUCAUAAAGUUGAAACUACGUACCAAAAUGUGAGGACCCACGAACAUUUUCCUGUUUCCGGCGCCAAUUUCAAUACUAGUAAUGUCAGUUCGGAUUCUAGUUCGAGCAUGAACACGCCGUCUGUCGGCGUUAGUUCAACAACGACUCCAAACACAAGUUCCAAUACAAGUACCUGUGAAAGCGCUGAACCGAGCCUUCCCAGUUCCCCCGAUAAUAAUACAGAGCGAAAUGCAACCGUAAUCGCUUCUAAUACGACUCAAAAUCCCUCACAAAAUCAAAUCAAUCAAUCCCAAACAGAGGAAGAAACGAACAACGACGAGUCUCUUAACACUUCAAUGGGAGUGCUGAGUUUGAACGAAAGUUCUACGGCAACGAACACGUCUCUGAAUGUCAGUUUACCGCCGUCAGAGAGUCCAAAAUUGAAUGCUUCGAGUGGAAGCAAUACGUGUCAAAACCAGGAAGAAAAUCAAGAAGCUGCAAGCAAUAAUGAUUCUAACAGACUGGAUGCUCCUUCGUCUAGUAAGAAUUUGCGUUCUAGUGGACCGGAGUCGUUGAAUUUUGGUUUAGGCUUGCAAGCGGCAUUGUCCCCUUCGCAUGGGAAGGAUGGAAACUACAUGGUGAAUAGAGCCCAUAGAGAACACCACCACAGAGAACGGGAAAAGAGACACAGCUUGACACCUUCCACGCAUUUGCAAGGGAAUCAUAACACGCAAAAUAGGCACUCGGCAGAAAUUCUAGCAACCAGUCUGCUGGACUCGGGCCCGGCGGAGCGAGGCGAGCGCGCGGAGCGAGGCGAGCGCGCGGAGCGAGGCGAGCGCGCGGAGCGGCGGCGGCGACGCUCGCGCAGCAACGAGCGGCCGCUGCCCGCCGCCUACGUCGCCAUCUACCCCUACAAGCCCUGCAAGCCCGACGAGCUCGAGCUCAAGAAAGGAGGUAUCUACACGGUGACGGAGCGGUGCCGCGACGGCUGGUACAAGGGCAGCUCGGAGCGGUCGCAGCGGGCCGGAGUGUUCCCCGGCAACUACGUCGCCCCCGCACACCAUCUGCGCCCUAAGCAUGACAAGGCUGCGCCGGCGGCUGUAUCGUCAGUGCCGGCAGCGGCAGCAGCGGGCGCCGGCAGCGCGGGCGCCGGCAGCGCGGCCCCCGACGCGCCGCCCCGCGCGAGGGACGCCGCGCCCGCCACGCUGUUACUCGCUCAACCGCUCACCUACCCUUGGAGUUCGCCGGCGCAGUCACAACAAAAUACACCCAGAUCUGAAAAGCCAAAAGAGAAAGCGAAAACGGAAAAGUCUUCAAUCUCAACGGGUGUGAGUUUGAUGAAACGUUUAGCGGCCAUGAAGAAAUGCAAGUCGCCUCCGCCGGCCGGCUAUAGUAUGGACAACCCGGUGUUCGAAGACGGACCCGGGACAUCCCUCAUGCUGACCUUGAACACGCAGCAACAUCACCCUGUACAUGUCAGAGCCAGCACGGAAAACCCUUGGCAGACCCAACACAGAAAAUCGCAGUCGCUAGACGUGACCGCUUCCAGGCGAGACAGACAUCAUACGCAACCGAACAAAGAGAGAUUCCGCUGUAUAGUACCCUAUCCGCCUAACUCUGAAUACGAGUUGGAACUCAAAGUGGAUGAUAUAGUGAUUGUUUCGAAAAAGCGAGGCGAUGGCUGGUACAAAGGUACCCUACAAAGGACUGGUCGUACCGGCCUAUUUCCCGCCUCAUUUGUACAAAGCUGUCCGCCCGAAUGACAAAGGCCUACACCUUCGAGGUUCGGAACUCUAUUUUAGUACAUAAAAGUGAUGGGAACAGGUGAUUAAAGUAAAGGCCCAAUAUAUAGCUCCUAUAUUCUAAAACACGGCAUUAUUUUUUAAUUGAGUGAGAUCUGUUAGUUAACUUGUCUAUGCGUAAAUUAUAUAUGGUCGUAUUGCAUUGUGAAAUAUACUUGCUUGUUUUCAGUGAUCAAAUGUCGGAAUAAACAAUAUUCACCGUAAAACAAAAAUGAAUUAUUCAUCUUUUUUAACGAUUGCGUUUUUUAACUAAUAUGUAAACAAACGUAUUAGACAAAUUAGCUUGCAAAUUCGCUCAGCACUUGAUUUCCUAUAUACAUUACUUAUUUAUGUAUACUUUUUUAAGUAUAAUUUUCAAUUUCAUGAAGAAUAUUGUCUUAGUUUCUUUCAGUCUUACUGGUCUCAAAAUUCGGUCACAUUUUUUUUGGUUUUAGGCAGCUAAAAGCUAUCGAAAAUAUCGAAACUAGAUUUGUGUUAUAAAGAAACGAAACUAAGGAUACCUGAAUUUUUUUUCUUAAGUGGAAUGAAAUAAAUUUUGUUUUAAAGGUAAAUACAACUAUACAUUGUAUAGUAUGGAUUUUGUUAAGGGUUUUGAUACGAAUUACUUACAUUCAAUGUUUAGAUUUUCAAAAUGUCACAAAAUAAUACUUUUUAAAAAUAUGAAUGCCCAUAAGUAUGGCAGUUUUAGAAUAUUCUUCGUUUUUUAUUAUUAAUCAACUCAGAAUUUAAAAUUUCACAAUUAUAAUAGAUUUCUUCCUACAUAUUUAUGUCACAAUAGAUAAGACGAACAUGUUGAAACGUAUGUGCUAAUACUCAUGAACCUUUUUACUUUUAAUUCACAAUUUUUACAUUUUUGGUCUAAACUUUAUUAUUGUAUUUCUAAAAUCAUUAUGACUGAACCUAACUGCCGACUCUAUGUGUAAAUAUACUUCAAUUAUUAUUUAAAAUGUUAUUUUUUUUAAUCAAACAAUGUGGGCCAAAUAAAGAGUCCAUGAUAAAAAAAGUAUUUUUGUAGUAUUAAAAUAAAAAUGAUGAUAAUAUUAAAGUUGUGUGGCGUGUAUAUUCUGAUCUUAAUUUAGAUGUAUAGCUGUUAUUAGUGAAUUGGUGUUUGUCAAUUAGAGACAUAAUAAACUUUAUGAUUAAAGUUAUUUUUGAUGACAAAUUAUUUUGUUAUUUUUAGUACAAGUUUGAUUUAUUUUUCGUGCAUCGGUUUAAUGAUUCAUAUUGUAUCAUGUUUUUUUUUUUGUUGUUAAUUCAAUUUCUGUAGUAGAAAUGAACUUGCCACUUUUUUUUACUUUCUCAUGUCUCUAGUUUUAAAACACUCUUAGCUUUAAACACCCUCGCGCGCAUGGAAACUGCAUCGAAUAGUUUUACAAACAUACUUCAACUAGCCAUAAUAAUAUUGAAGGAAAUAUUAAAAAUACUAGUACCAGUAUACUUGCAAACAAAUUCAAUAUUUUGAGCUUAACACAACUUACCCUUAGUAAACUAAAAUAGUGUUAUUUUUAAAUAUAAUUUUACAAUUAAACUUUAGGAUUCAAUAUACGCUUACUAUUUUUUAACAUUAUUAUAUUAUUUUUGUUUUAGGACACUGCCAUAUUAUCGUUUUCUAUACCUUUGAUUUUCAUUUUGAUAUUAGUUUUAAGUACUAUACAUGACUUCAAGGAAUAGGGUAGUUACAUAUUUUAACUAAGAAAAUGUUUGAUUGAACUAUUUAUAUAGUAAAUAGUAAUUUAUAAAAAAAAUGUUUUACUUUGGGUUUUAAAUAAAAUUUUGAUGAAAUUAAGACUGUAUGAUACCUUAGUUUUUAGUAUGUAAUGUUAAUAGGUAUCAUCUGGUAAUAUUAUAAGUAUAUUUAACCAUUUUCGGAAAACUUGUUUUUGCUAAUAAGUUAUAAGAUAAAUAUUUGAAAAUGUUCGUUGUUGUACCCAUUUUUGUGGUCUGAUGUGUGUUAACUUAGUAAGAUGAAUUUUUACCUGAAUUUAUAUUCGUUCGAGAUUUAGCGAUGUUUGGUGUUGACAAAGAUGUUAUAUUUAUCAUCACUACAAGUUUACUGCAACUUAGAUAGAUAAAUUUUAUGCAGAAAUCUCUCGGAAUUGUUUUAGCCUAAUUGAAUUGUCUAACUAGAAUACAAAUAACCCAUUAUUUAAGAAAUAUUCCAAAUUCAAAAAGUUUUCAUAGAUAUUGUACCUACCUAGUAGCUGGAUUCCAAAUUCAAAUAAGCAUGGUAGUGUUUUUUUUUUAAAUUAUAAUUGUAAUUUUACCAUCAGUCCACGAUCGAAAUGGUGUAUAAAAAUGGUCUUGAUUUUUAUCUAUGGAACAACAGCUCAACUGCCCUCUGGGUGUAGUUUUAGCACUAUAUAGUUAAUAUAGGAACAAUUGUACAUUCGAUGUCUUCUAUCUAUUUGUAUAAAGAGAAGUGCAUGAAACAGGUAUAUUAGCCCGUUAGUUUAGGUAAACUCGUUUGUUUGAUAUUUUAAUACGAUAUAGGAGAUCGCACUGUUGAUUUGUAGCGAAUUGUUUUCUAGAUUUGUAUUACGACACUAUAUGAACAUUUUUUAGUUUUACUUCUGAACUGUUUUUUAAAUGACUUUCUCGAACAUUCUUUUUGAAAUGUUUAUUAAAAAGUGAAUUAUAAUUUAACAUAUACCCAGUUGUAAGCAUAUCGUCAUUGUGUCGUAAUAUAAAUUAUAAAUUGAGGAGUGUAAAUACACUAUUCCUAAAUAGUGAACAUUGAUUGUUCACGAAACUUGUUGUGAACUGAUUUAAAACGUAUUUAUUUUAUUUGAUAAUGUGUACUUUUAGUUGUAGUACCUUUUACAACGAAAUUUGUUCAAUGCUCUUCUCUGAAAAUGGGACACAAAUGUUGAUGCUCUAGGAAAAAUAUAUUUUAUUGAAGUGGCAGCAACAUUCGAUCAAUUAUUUAUUGAAAAUUUUAAGUAAUUAUUUUUUUAACUGCCGAUGUCUUUCCUUGGUAUUUUUAUUGUACUAUCAACUACUAAAUAGUGAACAUACCUUAUUGGUUUGACAGUUGAGUUUAUGCGAUGUACCCACCAAGUGACUCUUUGAUCAAAGUGGAGCAAUUUGUGUCCAUAUUGUUUUGUAUUGUGCGCUUCUAUUGUAAAUUUUAAGUGAAUCAUAUCGAAGUUAUAAUUAGGUGAUUUCGAAAAGAAUUAAAAUUUCUUCUUAACAA